UACGUAGGUGGCGAGCGUUGUCCGGAAUUACUGGGUGUAAAGCGCGCGUAGGCGGGAGGCCAAGUCCGCUGUGAAAUCGCCCGGCUCAACUGGGCGCGGUCGGUGGAAACUGGUCACCUGGAGGACGGUAGAGGCGAGUGGAAUUCCCGGUGUAGUGGUGAAAUGCGUAGAGAUCGGGAGGAACACCAGUGGCGAAGGCGGCUCGCUGGGCCGGCCCUGAC
rnacentral:rRNA from 1 species